rnacentral:rRNA from 1 species
GAUGAACGCUGGCGGCGUGCCUAAUACAUGCAAGUCGAGCGAACGGACGAGAAGCUUGCUUCUCUGAUGUUAGCGGCGGACGGGUGAGUAACACGUGGAUAACCUACCUAUAAGACUGGGAUAACUUCGGGAAACCGGAGCUAAUACCGGAUAAUAUUAUGAACCGCAUGGUUCAAAAGUGAAAGACGGUCUUGCUGUCACUUAUAGAUGGAUCCGCGCUGCAUUAGCUAGUUGGUAAGGUAACGGCUUACCAAGGCAACGAUGCAUAGCCGACCUGAGAGGGUGAUCGGCCACACUGGAACUGAGACACGGUCCAGACUCCUACGGGAGGCAGCAGUAGGGAAUCUUCCGCAAUGGGCGGAAGCCUGACGGAGCAACGCCGCGUGAGUGAUGAAGUUCUUCGGAUCGUAAAACUCUGUUAUUAGGGAAGAACAUAUGUGUAAGUAACUGUGCACAUCUUGACGGUACCUAAUCAGAAAGCCACGGCUAACUACGUG